GUAGUCUGCAACUCGACUACAUGAAGCUGGAAUCGCUAGUAAUCGCGGAUCAGAAUGCCGCGGUGAAUACGUUCCCGGGUCUUGUACACACCGCCCGUCACACCAUGGGAGUCGGGAAUGCCCGAAGUCAGUGACCCAACCGAAAGGGGGAGCUGCCGAAGGCAGGCCUGGUAACUGGGGUGAAGUCGUAACAAGGUAUC
rnacentral:rRNA from 1 species